rnacentral:rRNA from 1 species
UGGGGAAUAUUGGACAAUGGGCGAAAGCCUGAUCCAGCCAUGCCGCGUGUGUGAAGAAGGUCUUCGGAUUGUAAAGCACUUUAAGCGAGGAGGAGGGUACUGGUAUUAAUACUACCAGGUACUGGACGUUACUCGCAGAAUAAGCACCGGCUAACUCUGUGCCAGCAGCCGCGGUAAUACAGAGGGUGCGAGCGUUAAUCGGAUUUACUGGGCGUAAAGCGUGCGUAGGCGGCUAAUUGAGUCGGAUGUGAAAUCCCCGAGCUUAACUUGUGAAUUGCAUUCGAUACUGGUUAGCUAGAGUGUGGGAGAGGAUGGUAGAAUUCCAGGUGUAGCGGUGAAAUGCGUAGAGAUCUGGAGGAAUACCGAUGGCGAAGGCAGCCAUCUGGCCUAGCACUGACGCUGAGGUACGAAAGCAUGGGGAGCAAACAGG